rnacentral:rRNA from 1 species
GGGAAAUAUUGCGCAUUGGGGGAAACCCUGCCGAAGCAAUACGGCGUGAGUGAAGAAGGUUUUGGAACGGAAAGGCUCUUUUAUUGGGGAGGAAAAAAAGCGGGUCCCCAAGAAAAAGGUCCUGGAUACGUACGUGCCAGCAGCCGCGGUAAUACGUAGGGGACAAGCGUUGUCCGGAUUUACUGGGCGUAAAGGGCACGCAGGCGGUUUUUUAAGUCAGAUGUGAAAGGUACCGGCUCAACCGGUGACAUGCAUUUGAAACUGAAAGACUUGAGUAUUGGAGAGGCAAGUGGAAUUCCUAGUGUAGCGGUCAAAUGCGUAGAUAUUAGGAGGAACACCGGUGGCGAAGGCGGCUUGCUGGACAAAUACUGACGCUGAGGUGCUAAAGCGUGGGGAGCAAACA